rnacentral:rRNA from 1 species
UGAAUACGAGAUGCUACGGCGUCGAAGCAGUGUAUGUCAGACUUCCAAGAAAAGCUCGCAAUGUCAUAAAUAAAGAAUGCCUGUACCAUAACCGACACAGGUGGGUAGGUAGAGUAUACUAAGGGGCGCGAGAUAACUCUCUCUAAGGAACUCGGCAAAAUAACUCCGUAACUUCGGGAGAAGGAGUGCCUUCUUUAAGAAGGUUGCAAUAACAAGAUCCAAGCAACUGUUUAUCAAAAACACAGGUCUCCGCUAAGUCGUAAGACGAUGUAUGGGGGCUGACGCCUGCCCAGUGCCAGAAGGUUAAAGAAGUUGGUUAGCUUUUGCGAAGCUGAUGACUGAAGCCCUGGUGAACGGCGGCCGUAACAAUAACGGUCCUAAGGUAGCGAAAUUCCUUGUCGGGUAAGUUCCGACCCGCACGAAAGGCGUAAUGAUUUGGAUACUGUCUCGGAGAGGGACUCGGUGAAAUAGACUUGUCUGUGAAGAUGCGGACUACCUGCACCAGGACAGAAAGACCCUAUGAAGCUUUACUGUAACUUGAAAUUGAAAUUGGACUUUAUUUGCGCAGUAUAGGUGGAAGGCGUUGAAAGUAAUCUUGCGGGAUUAGUGGAGCCAUCAGUGAGAUACCACUCCUAUAAUGUUAGAUUUCUAACUUUGGAUCAUGAUCUGGUCAAAGAACAGUUUCAGGCGGGCAGUUUGACUGGGGCGGUCGCCUCCCAAAUGGUAACGGAGGCGUACAAAGGUUUCCUCUGAACGGGUAGAAAUCGUAUCUAGAGUGUAAAGGCAUAAGGAAGCUUGACUGUGAGACCUACAAGUCGAGCAGGGACGAAAGUCGGUCUUAGUGAUCUGACGGUGCUGAGUGGAAAGGCCGUCACUCAACGGAUAAAAGUUACUCUAGGAUAACAGGCUGAUCUCCCCCAAGAGUUCACAUCGACGGGGAGGUUUGGCACCUCGAUGUCGGCUCAUCGCAUCCUGGGGCGGUAGUACGUCCCAAGGGUUGGGCUGUUCGCCCAUGAAAGCGGUACGCGAGCUGGGUUCAGAACGUCGUGAGACAGUUCGGUCCAUAUCCGGUGUAGGCGUUAGAAUAUUGAGAGGAGCCUUCUUUAGUACGAGAGGACCGAGAAGGACAUACCUCUGGUGUACCAGUUAUCGUGCCAACGGUAAACGCUGGGUAGCUAUGUAUGGAGAGGAUAACCGCUGAAAGCAUCUAAGUGGGAAGCCCACCUCAAGAUGAGUAUUC